rnacentral:rRNA from 1 species
UCUGAUAGCAAGCUGUACUUGUACAGCGAAGUGGUUGAUGCCAUGCUUCCAGGAAAAGUCUCUAAGCUUCAGUUACACAGGAAUCGUACCCGAAACCGACACAGGUGGUCAGGUCGAGUAGACCAAGGCGCUUGAGAGAACUCUGCUGAAGGAACUAGGCAAAAUGGUACCGUAACUUCGGGAGAAGGUACGCUGUUGUUGGUGAUGGAACUCGCUUCCUGAGCUGACGACAGCCGCAGAAACCAGGCCGCUGCAACUGUUUAUUAAAAACAUAGCACUCUGCAAACACGAAAGUGGACGUAUAGGGUGUGAUGCCUGCCCGGUGCUGGAAGGUUAAUUGAUGGGGUUAGCGUAAGCGAAGCUCUUGAUCGAAGCCCCAGUAAACGGCGGCCGUAACUAUAACGGUCCUAAGGUAGCGAAAUUCCUUGUCGGGUAAGUUCCGACCUGCACGAAUGGCAUAAUGAUGGCGGCGCUGUCUCCAGCAGAGGCUCAGUGAAAUCGAAAUCGCUGUGAAGAUGCAGUGUACCCGCGGCUAGACGGAAAGACCCCGUGAACCUUUACUGCAGCUUGACACUGAACUUUGACCUUACUUGUGUAGGAUAGGUGGGAGGCUUUGAAGCUGGAACGCUAGUUCCAGUGGAGCCGUCCUUGAAAUACCACCCUGGUAAUGUUGAGGUUCUAACUCUGUCCCGUGAUCCGGGACGAGGACCGUGUCUGGUGGGUAGUUUGACUGGGGCGGUCUCCUCCUAAAGAGUAACGGAGGAGUACGAAGGUGCGCUCAGCGUGGUCGGAAAUCACGCGUAGAGUAUAAAGGCAAAAGCGCGCUUAACUGCGAGACCCACAAGUCGAGCAGGUACGAAAGUAGGUCUUAGUGAUCCGGUGGUUCUGUAUGGAAGGGCCAUCGCUCAACGGAUAAAAGGUACUCUGGGGAUAACAGGCUGAUACCGCCCAAGAGUUCAUAUCGACGGCGGUGUUUGGCACCUCGAUGUCGGCUCAUCUCAUCCUGGGGCUGAAGCAGGUCCCAAGGGUAUGGCUGUUCGCCAUUUAAAGAGGUACGCGAGCUGGGUUUAGAACGUCGUGAGACAGUUCGGUCCCUAUCUACCGUGGGCGCUGGAAAUUUGAGAGGAUCUGCUCCUAGUACGAGAGGACCAGAGUGGACGAACCUCUGGUGUACCGGUUGUGACGCCAGUCGCAUCGCCGGGUAGCUAUGUUCGGAAGGGAUAACCGCUGAAAGCAUCUAAGCGGGAAGCCUACCUCAAGAUAAGAUUUCCCUAGGACUUUAUGUCCUCUAAAGAGCCGUUCGAGACUAGGACGUUGAUAGGUUGGAUGUGGAAGCAUAGUGAUAUGUGAAGCUGACCAAUACUAAUUGCUCGUGAGGCUUGACUAU